UCGGGGAAUAAUUGGGGGCGUAAGGGCGCGUAGGCGGCUUGGCAAGUCAGAUGUGAAAGCCCCGGGCUCAACUUGGGAAUUGCAUCUGAGACUGCUUUGCUUGAGUUCUGGAGGGGGUAGUGGAAUUCCCAGUGUAGCGGUGAAAUGCGUAGAUAUUGGGAGGAACACCUGCGGCGAAGGCGGCUACCUGGACAGAAACUGACGCUGAGGCGCGAAAGCUAGGGGAGCGAACGGGAUUAGAUACCCCGGUAGUCCUAGUCGUAAACGAUGGGCACUUGGUGUUGGGGGUAUUGAGUCCCCCGGUGCCGGAGUUAACACGUUAAGUGCCCCGCCUGGGGAGUACGGUCGCAAGACUGAAACUCAAAGGAAUUGACGGGGGCCCGCACAAGCGGUGGAGCAUGUGGUUCAAUUCGACGCAACGCGAAGAACCUUACCGGGGCUCGAACGGUGACUGCAACCUGUGGAAACACGGGGUUCUCUUCGGAGACGGUUACCGAGGUGCUGCAUGGCUGUCGUCAGCUCGUGUCGUGAGAUGUUGGGUUAAGUCCCGCAACGAGCGCAACCCUUGCCCUUAGUUGCAACCAGGUAAUGCUGAGCACCCUAAGGGAACUGUCGGCAAAAAGCCGGAGGAAGGUGGGGAUGACGUCAAGUCCUCAUGGCCCUUACGUCCCGGGCUACACACGUGCUACAAUGGUCGGUACAAAGGGUUGCCAACCUGCGAGGGGGAGCUAAUCCCAAAAAGCCGAUCUCAGUUCGGAUUGCAGUCUGCAACUCGACUGCAUGAAGGCGGAAUCGCUAGUAAUCGCAGAUCAGAAUGCUGCGGUGAAUACGUUCCCGGGCCUUGUACACACCGCCCGUCACAUCACGAAAGUGGGUUGUACUAGAAAUCGCUGGGCUAACCUGCAAAGGGGGCAAGCGCUUAAGUAUGAUCCAUGAUUGGGGUGAAGUCGUAACAAGGUAACC
rnacentral:rRNA from 1 species